UGGCAGACGGGUGAGUAACGCGUGGGAAGCUACCUUGUGGUAGGGAACAACAGUUGGAAACGACUGCUAAUACCCUAUGAGCCCUAUGGGGGAAAGAUUUAUCGCCAUGAGAUGUGCCCGCGUUAGAUUAGCUAGUUGGUAAGGUAAUGGCUUACCAAGGCGACGAUCUAUAGCUGGUCUGAGAGGAUGAUCAGCCACACUGGGACUGAGACACGGCCCAGACUCCUACGGGAGGCAGCAGUGGGGAAUAUUGGACAAUGGGGGCAACCCUGAUCCAGCCAUGCCGCGUGAGUGAUGACGGCCUUAGGGUUGUAAAGCUCUUUCAGCAAUGAAGAUAAUGACAUUAACUGCAGAAGAAGCCCCGGCUAACUUCGUGCCAGCAGCCGCGGUAAU
rnacentral:rRNA from 1 species